rnacentral:lncRNA from 1 species
UCGGCUUUAAUUAAAUUCUUUUUAAUCUGACUUGGUGAAGUCAGUGGGAUGAUUGAAAUUGACUGGUUAAUUUUUUCUCUUCUAUCCUUUAAUAAAAUCUUCAAAAAUUAUUAGGUCCCUAAAAAUGAUUAAGUUAUAGUGAUAACUAAGUCAUAGCCUCCCAUUAAGUGAGUGAUAAUGAGUCCAUUAGUUUAAUAAUCACUGGAGGCCCAAAGACCAGGUACUUAUUGACUAAUGAAAUUAUCAUUCAUAAUAUGAUCAUUUGGUUGAGUCUUU